rnacentral:lncRNA from 1 species
UUUUAAAAGCCUUUUUAAAAUCCAUUCCAUUUUGAAAUUCAGAGUUGCGAAAAAUGUGCCAUUUUUUUUUUUCAACCUGGCCCACGUGACGUACAGAUCCGCCACAAAUACAAAGUUCCUCUGUCCACUCGAACAGAGUCUCCUUUGUAUUUGCACGGCGUACCAACUAUACAACAGGAUCUCAACCACAACCUAUAUUUACCAAUCAACAAUCAAUUCAUGAUAUGCAUUUUCAUAUAGCUAACGAUCCUUAGAGAUGAUGUAUGCCACUAAGCACUCCUUAGGCGCUGGAUGAUGCAAUGCACAGUACAACAAUCAUCCUAUUUAAAAGUGCUUCCUACCCAGAAACUUUGUUUUUGAAAUCUAUUUCAGUCAUCCAAGAAAAUCAUUCGAAAACCUUUUUAAAACUGUUUCCCACUCGGAAACUCUAUUUUGAAAACCGACUACCUCGAGCGAUAGAAAACCACGAUGUAUAUAAAUUCGAUACAUACACAAGUCCACAAUCUAAAAUCAU